rnacentral:rRNA from 1 species
CCGCGUGUGUGAAGAAGGCCUUCGGGUUGUAAAGCUCUUUUGUCCGGGAAGAAAUUGUUCUGGCUAAUACCUGGGGUACAUGACGGUACCGGAAGAAUAAGCACCGGCUAACUACGUGCCAGCAGCCGCGGUAAUAA